CUCACUCACCCCUUCUUCUGCCCUUUGUUGACCUGGCCUCUAAUUGUGUAGCCGUGGACAGGGGCUCUCAGGUGUCUCUGCCUGAGUGGACGGGUCGCAGUGCACCUGAGAAGGGCAGAGGAACCAACUGCAAGGGAAAGGAAAAAAGAAAAACCUUGACUGUGAGAAAAUGGGUGGUGCCUGCAGGUAUCAGAACACCCAUGGGUGUGUCAUCCUGCCUGGAGAGUGCCGGAGUCGGAAGAAACACUGCUGCAGACUCUAGUUUCAGCAUCGGAGCGUCCACAGCAGCACGAGACACUCCCCACCGCUGAGUCCUGUUUAAAAAGAGCCGCUGCUCACUUGGGUCCCGUGGGGUCUUUCUGAGUGCACGAGGUCAUGAACUGGAUGGGAAGGUUGGCUGGAAGUCUGGUCACACCACUCGUUAGCUGACUCACGCUGGACAGGCCUUGCCUUUCCUAACUCUCAGUCUCUGCUCCUGUGACUGCUGAAAUGGAUGUUCCCCGCAGCCUAAUUUUGUUAGUGGUGGGGUUUAGUUGCUAAAUCAUGUCCGACUCUUCUGUGACGCCAUGGACUGAGGAGCCUGGCACCAGGCUCCUCAAUUCAUGCGAUUUUCCGGGCAAAAAUACUGGAGUGGGUUGUCCUUUCCUUUUUUAGGACAUCGUUCUGACCCAGGGAUUGAGCCCGCAUCUCCUGUGUCUCCUGCAUUGGCAGGCAGUCUUUAGCACUGAGCCCCAGGAAAGCCAACCUGUUAAUAUAUGUCUACAAAUGUAUGGACUGGGGGAAAGAGCUUUGAGUGUGCGUGUGUGUGUGUGUGUGUGUGUGUGUGUGUGUGUUAUACUAUGAAAAGUCACGGAGGUUUUGUGUCCCUUUGUGGAAGGACGUCUGUGUUUCCCCUGGCUUAUGGGUUUCCACGUGGUCAACAUGUGCUUAACUUCCCAAGAGACAGCAAACUGCUUUCUGAAGCAGCUGUGGUCGCUGCUGACAAUCUCAGUGGCCUCUGAGUUCCCAGUCUCUCCAUGUUCCCAUCCCUCGUCACACCUUCAUGUAAAAUUCUCCGUGUUUCUCUGUUAAAA
ensembl:lncRNA